rnacentral:rRNA from 1 species
GGGUGAGUAACACGUAUCCAACCUGCCGACAACACUGGGAUAGCCUUUCGAAAGAAAGAUUAAUACCGGAUGGCAUAGUUUUCCCGCAUGGGAUAAUUAUUAAAGAAUUUCGGUUGUCGAUGGGGAUGCGUUCCAUUAGGCAGUUGGCGGGGUAACGGCCCACCAAACCAACGAUGGAUAGGGGUUCUGAGAGGAAGGUCCCCCACAUUGGAACUGAGACACGGUCCAAACUCCUACGGGAGGCAGCAGUGAGGAAUAUUGGUCAAUGGACGAGAGUCUGAACCAGCCAAGUAGCGUGAAGGAUGACUGCCCUAUGGGUUGUAAACUUCUUUUAUACGGGAAUAAAGUGAGCCACGUGUGGCUUUUUGUAUGUACCGUAUGAAUAAGGAUCGGCUAACUCCGUGCCAGCAGCCGCGGUAAUACGGAGGAUCCGAGCGUUAUCCGGAUUUAUUGGGUUUAAAGGGAGCGUAGGCGGGUUGUUAAGUCAGUUGUGAAAGUUUGCGGCUCAACCGUAAAAUUGCAGUUGAUACUGGCGACCUUGAGUGCAACAGAGGUAGGCGGAAUUCGUGGUGUAGCGGUGAAAUGCUUAGAUAUCACGAAGAACUCCGAUUGCGAAGGCAGCUUACUGGAUUGUAACUGACGCUGAUGCUCGAAAGUGUGGGUAUCAAACAGGAUUAGAUACCCUGGUAGUCCACACAGUAAACGAUGAAUACUCGCUGUUGGCGAUAU